rnacentral:rRNA from 1 species
UACGUAGGGGGCAAGCGUUGUCCGGAAUCAUUGGGCGUAAAGCACGUGUAGGCGGCUCGGUAAGUCCGCUCUGAAAGUCCAGGGCUCAACCCUGGGAUGCGGGUGGAUACUGCCGGGCUCGAGUCCGGAAGAGGCGAGUGGAAUUCCCGGUGUAGCGGUGAAAUGCGCAGAUAUCGGGAGGAACACCAAUGGCGAAGGCAGCUCGCUGGGACGUGACUGACGCUGAGACGCGAAAGCGUGGGGAGCGAACCGG